rnacentral:rRNA from 1 species
CUGGAGGACAGGUGCGUGCAUGGCUGUCGUCAGCUCGUGUCGUGAGAUGUUGGGUUAAGGUCCCGCAACGAGCGCAACCCUUGCCUUUAGUUUGCCAGCAGUUCGGCUGGGCACUCUAAAGGGACUGCCGGUGUUAAACCGGAGGAAGGUGGGGAUGACGUCAAGUCCUCAUGGCCUUUAUGACCAGGGCUACACACGUACUACAAUGGCCGAUACAAAGGGCAGCGACACUGCGAGGUGAAGCCAAUCCCGUAAAAUCGGUCUCAGUCCGGAUUGGAGUCUGCAACUCGACUCCAUGAAGUUGGAAUCGCUAGUAAUCGUGGAUCAGCAUGCCACGGUGAAUACGUUCCCGGGCCUU